UACGUAGGGUGCGAGCGUUAAUCGGAAUUACUGGGCGUAAAGCGUGCGCAGGCGGUUUUGUAAGCCAGAUGUGAAAGCCCCGGGCUCAACCUGGGAAUGGCAUUUGGGACUGCAAGGCUUGAGUGCGGCAGAGGAGACUGGAAUUCCUGGUGUAGCAGUGAAAUGCGUAGAGAUCAUGAGGAAGACCAGUGGCGAAGGCGGGUCUCUGGACAGUUCCUGACACUGAGGCACGAAGGCCAGGGGAGCAAACGGG
rnacentral:rRNA from 1 species